rnacentral:tRNA from 1 species
CGGAGCGUAGCUCAGCUUGGCAGAGCACCAGCUUUGGGAGUUGGAUGUCGCAGGUUCAAAUCCUGUCGCUCCGACCA